rnacentral:rRNA from 1 species
GACGAACGCUGGCGGCGUGCCUAACACAUGCAAGUCGAACGGGGUAAGAAGCUUCGGUUUCUUACUUAGUGGCGAACGGGUGAGUAACGCGUGAGAAACCUGCCUUUCAGUGGGGGACAACAGUUGGAAACGACUGCUAAUACCGCCUAAUGUUAUUUGAGGGCAUCCUCGGAUAACCAAAGAUUUAUUGGUGAAAGAUGGUCGCGCGUCUGAUUAGCUAGAUGGCGGGGUAACGGCCCAACAUGGCGACGAUCAGUAGCCGGUCUGAGAGGAUGAACGGACACAUUGGGAGUGAGAUACGGCCCAGACUCCUACGGGAGGCAGCAGUGGGGAAUAUUGGGCAAUGGGGGAAACCCUGACCCAGCAACGCCGCGUGAAGGAAGAAGGCCUUCGGGUUGUAAACUUCUUUUACCAGGGACGAACAGAUGACGGUACCUGGAGAAAAAGCAACGGCUAACUACGUGCCAGCCGCCGCCGUAAGAC